GACAGAGGGUGCAAACGUUGUUCGGAAUUACUGGGCGUAAAGCGCGUGUAGGCGGCUAUGCAAGUCGGAUGUGAAAUCCCGCGGCUCAACCGUGGAAGUGCAUCCGAAACUGCGUGGCUAGAGUCCCGGAGAGGAAGGUGGAAUACUUGGUGUAGAGGUGAAAUUCGUAGAUAUCAAGUGGAACACCGGUGGCGAAGGCGGCCUUCUGGACGGUGACUGACGCUGAGACGCGAAAGCGUGGGUAGCAAAC
rnacentral:rRNA from 1 species